rnacentral:rRNA from 1 species
ACGCUCGACACCUACGGGAGCAGCAGUGGGGAAUAUUGCACAAUGGGGGAAACCCUGAUGCAGCAACGCCGCGUGAAGGAAGACGGUUUUCGGAUUGUAAACUUCCGUUCUUAGUGAAGAUAGUGACGGUAGCUAAGGAGCAAGCCACGGCUAACUACGUGCAGCAGCCGCGGUAAUCUGAGCGGGCUGGCAAGGC